GUCCAGACUCCUACGGGAGGCAGCAGUGGGGAAUAUUGCACAAUGGGGGAAACCCUGAUGCAGCGACGCCGCGUGAGUGAAGAAGUAUUUCGGUAUGUAAAGCUCUAUCAGCAGGGAAGAUAAUGACGGUACCUGACUAAGAAGCCCCGGCUAACUACGUGCCAGCAGCCGCGGUAAUACGUAGGGGGCAAGCGUUAUCCGGAUUUACUGGGUGUAAAGGGUGCGUAGGUGGCAUGGCAAGUCAGAAGUGAAAGCCCGGGGCUCAACCCCGCGGACUGCUUUUGAAACUGUCAGGCUGGAGUACAGGAGAGAUAAGCGGAAUUCCUAGUGUAGCGGUGAAGUGCGUAGAUAUUAGGAGGAACACCAGUGGCGAAGGCGGCUUACUGGACUGUAACUGACACUGAGGCACGAAAGCGUGGGGAGCAAACAGGAUUAGAUACCCGUGUAA
rnacentral:rRNA from 1 species